UAGGUUCUGAUGAUUCUCCGCACAAGAUGUCAAAUGUCUCUAUGAUUAUGAAAAUGAAGGGGUUGUUUGGCGUGAAGGUUGUUAAGACUUUAAUGGCCUUUACAGUUAAAGUUUAUAUUAAAGCAACCAGACUUCUAAAUUUGAGAUGUAUCACUUUUAUAGUUGAGGUUUUAUGCAAUUUAAAAGCUAUUAGUUUAGGUAAAUAGGUGAAUCAGUUUCAGUAUACAAUGUAAAUAUAUUCUUAUGUUUUUUAUCUCCAUUUAUGAAAACAUUGUUUUUACAGCCACAGUUAAUUACCAAAUCUCUCAAGUUGAGAAUACUCUUUCUAUCUUUUCAUGUGGAGAAAGAAUUUUAUGACCCUGAAGUCAAUUAUUCCAGAGGCAAUUGAAGACAAAACAUCACUAUCACAUCUGGUAUGAACUUUGUUUUAAUAUAUUCUGAAAACACAGAAUAUUUUCAGGUCAUGGAUUUGAUUUAGAGAAUGUUCUCAAGCUAUGACACAACUUUAUUCUACUAGAUAACAAUGUAAACACAACUCAAGAGUCAAAACAGAGAGAAGUUUUCUUAUUUCAUGAGGCUACAGUAAGUCCUGAAACCAGAUAGAUCUCUCCUUUGAUCCCUUGCAGGUGAACUUAUAGUAUUCUUCAAAAUCAAGGUAUUCAGCUUAUACUCCGAAUUGAAGGACUGAAAAAAAAACAAUUGUUGUUUAUCAAGGUGAGAUCGGUCAUAUUCUAUAUAGUUUCUUUCUGUGACUAGCUUUGCCUUUUUUUCUUGUUCUGUAAUAAAUUCGUUUUAAUAUUUGUAUAGUACAGUAGUGUUAUUUUUAUCGUUCUUACAAGGAGAUAGUGUAGUACACAUGUUACAUGCACGCAACUACGCAAGUGACUAACCAAAAGAAAACUCCAUUCAUGAAAGUUUAAACAAAGGGCACCUUUCUUUAUAUAUAUAUAUGAAUAUAAUGAUUUAUAUAAGAAUAUAUAAUCAUUAUAGCAAUUUCUAUAAAUUAUUUUUCGUUCUUUGAUAUAGUUUAUAAAUAUAAAAAAUGGAUUGAUCAAAUUUCAUUACUCUUUCUAUAAUUUUUACAAUUAGUUACCAUAAAUGAUUAUUUGUAAUUUUAUGUAGAUUAUUUGGCAAGUAAUAUUAAUAGAUUAUAGACUUACUUUUUAUUUUUAGAUUUAGUAAAAAUAAAUAAAAUUAUUAUAUAGUAGGAUUUUUUUUCACGUCGUCGGCAUGCAAAGUUGGGGUUUGCUUAGGGGUGUCAAUCGGGCCGGCCCGGCCCGGCCCAAAGUCCGCAAAGCCCAUUGUUAUUAAAGCCCAGCCCGCAAAAAUUAUGGGCUUAUAUUUUAAAGCCCGGCCCGGCCCUAAACGGGCUAUAGGGCUUUUCGGGCUUUUUCGGGCUUUUGUUAUGUCUUGCCGGCAUAUACAAAUCACUAUUUCACACCUAAUCGAAUAAUAUAAAUAUGCACCGUCUUUCAAAUGAUCGAGAGGGAAAGGAGCACACUUUCUAAAAGCCAUAUGUUUUUAAUGAAAUCCAGUUUAAACUAAAACAAAUGUGUAACUUAAAAACACCAAAUAAGAUAAUAAUAAUAGCAAAUAGAAAUAAAAUAAAAGCAUUUCAACUAUUUUACAUAACUAAAUAAAGAUUAGGGUUUUUACCUAUGAUUUAAGAUAAUAUUAUAAAUUAAUAAUUAAGAAAAUUAACUAUUUUAUAUAACUAAAUAAAUUAAAAUAUAAAGUUUCGGGUUUUCGGGCCGGCCAUAGCCCAUACGGGCUUAGGCCCAAAAUGUCCAAAGCCCAAAUGGGCUUAGCCCGAAAAGCCCAUUUUUUUUUGGGCUUAUAAAACUAAGCCCAGGCCCGGUAAUUUUUAGGGCUGAGCGGGCUCGGGCUGCGGGCUUCGGCCCUAAUUGACAUGUGUAGGUUUGCUAUUACUUACACAGAAGCAGCGGUGGCACUUAACCCUAAUUGGCAAAUCUCAAAAUCCGGAAUCGAAGAAGAUGAUGACGUUGAGGGCACUUGUUGUUAAAGGGACAUUAGCGUUCGUUGGAUUCAAGGCUGGAGUCGCCAUGUACCCUCCAUUGCCGGUAGAUGUAGAAACGCCAAACACCAUCUUUUUGGGUACGUACCUGAACAUGACGAAAGAAAGGAUGGAAGCAGCGGAAAGAAAUUGGAGAAGAAUCUGAAAGAGAUGAAGGAACUUCUGUUCUGUCUGAGAGAGUUUGAGCUGUGACUAUGUUUCAGCUUUCAUAAUCUUUUGCUAGUCUAUGUAUGCUUUCCUCUGAAUGUAAUAAUAUUCAACCAAGCUAGGGUUUCUACUCUUUUCCCUCAGAGUAUCACAAGAAGGUUCGUUCCUCACUUGUUGAUGAUGCUUGAAUUACUAAGCCAAGCAGGUAAACUGAUUCAUUCCGGGAA